rnacentral:rRNA from 1 species
GCGGUAAUUCCAGCUCUGUAAGCGUAUACCAAAGUUGUUGCAGUUAAAACGCUCGUAGUCGGACGUUGGCUUAGGAUGUAUUGCUGGCGUAAAAACCACGUUACAUCUUUAGCCUUUGUGGAGGGGGUUUCGAGGCUCUUAAUUGAACCUUUGGGAUUCCGCAACCGUUUACUGUGAAAAAAUUAGAGUGUUCAAAGCGGGCGUUUGCCAUGAAUACAUUAGCAUGGAAUAAUAGAAUAGGACCUGGUCCUGUUUUGUUGGUUUGUGAGUAUCAGGUAAUGACCAAGAGGGACGGUUGGGGGCAUUUGUAUUCCGGCGUUAGAGGUGAAAUUCUCGGAUU